rnacentral:rRNA from 1 species
CCCCGUGGAGCUUUACUGUAGCCUGAUAUUGAAAUUCGGCACAGCUUGUACAGGAUAGGUAGGAGCCUUUGAAACGUGAGCGCUAGCUUACGUGGAGGCGCUGGGGGGAUACUACCCUAGCUGUGUUGGCUUUCUAACCCGCACCACUUAUCGUGGUGGGAGACAGUGUCAGGCGGGCAGUUUGACUGGGGCGGUCGCCUCCUAAAAGGUAACGGAGGCGCUCAAAGGUUCCCUCAGAAUGGUUGGAAAUCAUUCAUAGAGUGUAAAGGCAUAAGGGAGCUUGACUGCGAGACCUACAAGUCGAGCAGGGUCGAAAGACGGACUUAGUGAUCCGGUGGUUCCGCAUGGAAGGGCCAUCGCUCAACGGAUAAAAGCUCCCCCGGGGAUAACAGGCUUAUCUCCCCCAAGAGUUCACAUCGACGGGGAGGUUUGGCACCUCGAUGUCGGCUCAUCGCAUCCUGGGGCUGUAGUCGGUCCCAAGGGUUGGG